rnacentral:lncRNA from 1 species
UCUUUUUUAUGUCUGGCUAUAUAUUUCUUUCAAAUCCUCGUGGGAGCUUGAAAGAAGAUUAAGAUGAAUAAUUUGUUAGACACCUUAUUGAAAAUUUAUUUCAAUUAUUUUUCUUUUUAUGUGGUUUUUCAUGUUAUAAUGUGAUGUUAGAUUCAUUAUGAAAAAUUUAUUUUAACUAUUUUCUUUUAUGUGUUUUUUCAUGCUCAAAGCAUUGAUGAGAUCAAUAAUUGAAACAAAAAAUAGAAAAUAUUUUAUGAUGGAGAUCAACAUAUCUAACUACUUUCUUUUUUAUGUAGUUUUUCAUGCUCGGAGAAUCAAGAGGAUCUACAAUUAAAACUGAUAGCUAAUUGAUGGAGAUCAAAAGCAUAUCUUAAGAGUGAUUCAACUAGAUACAACAAAUCAAUUGACUCAGGAUGAGUAAUGAAAGAAUUUAAAACAUUGGUUGAUUCUUACAAAAUCAAAGAUGAAGAAAAUCCAAUGCCUCGACCUUCAUACCCAUUUGUGGAGUUGGAUUUCUACGAAAUCUUUUGCUUAUAUAUUUUUUUUUAUCAUAUCAAUUAGCAAUGUUGACUGUGAGAUCAAAAAAAAAUUAUGACCGAUAAUUAUGUCGGAAGCUUCUUUAUUCAAAAAUUGUAUUCAGUAUUUAAUAUUAUUUUCGCUAUUUGAAAAAGCUAUAAAAAAUAGAAAAAAGUUUUAUAUUAAUACAAACUAUUAUGAA